UACGAAGGGGGCUAGCGUUGCUCGGAAUCACUGGGCGUAAAGCGCACGUAGGCGGAUCUUUAAGUCAGACGUGAAAUCCCUCAGCUUAACUGGGGAACUGCGUCUGAUACUGGAUGGCUUGAGUUUGGGAGAGGGAUGCGGAAUUCCAGGUGUAGCGGUGAAAUGCGUAGAUAUCUGGAGGAACACCGGUGGCGAAGGCGGCAUCCUGGACCAACACUGACACUGAGGAGCGAAAGCCAGGGGAGCAAACGGG
rnacentral:rRNA from 1 species